AUGCUCAUUUCGGCAGCACACAUACUAAAAUGGAAUGAUACAGACGAGGUUAGCAUGCCCUGUGCAAGGAUGACACACAAAUUCAUGAAGCAUUUAUGUAUCUU
ensembl:snRNA U6 U6 spliceosomal RNA